UUAGGGUUAAAAACUCUAUCUCGCAGAUUGGAAUCGACCAUGGCAGGUGGAGGAGGGGGUUUUAUGCACAGAGUUCUUACUUACUUGAUUAAUGAAUUAGUUGUUAACAGUCUUGCUAACAGCCGUGGUUUUCAAAGAUGGGCUGUUAGGACUAACAAACGAAUAGAAGAUGCUGCUUUAUUUGCUGCAAGGAGGAAACAAAACUUUAAGAAUUUCAAGGAAUUUUUCCAGUCCUCGAAAGACCAGUGAAGCUGUCUUUGUUAAAUAAAAAUAUGUCCAGUUCUGAAUAUUAUCAGCUUUACGUUUUCGGUGUACAUGUCCAGCAAUCAUAUGUUACCAAUUACCCUUUUUGUGGUCAGUUCAGGAUUUCAAAUGUGACUUAUUUCAAGACUUUGAACAGA